rnacentral:rRNA from 1 species
UACGUAGGGUGCAAGCGUUAAUCGGAAUUACUGGGCGUAAAGCGUGCGCAGGCGGUUUUGUAAGUCUGUCGUGAAAUCCCCGGGCUUAACCUGGGAAUUGCGAUGGAGACUGCAAGGCUAGAAUCUGGCAGAGGGGGGUAGAAUUCCACGUGUAGCAGUGAAAUGCGUAGAGAUGUGGAGGAACACCGAUGGCGAAGGCAGCCCCCUGGGCCUGCACUGACGCUCAUGCACGAAAGCGUGGGGAGCAAACAGG